CUCUAAAAAUGGCUGGGUUAUUUUUUAACCCAAAAUGCUGGGUUGAGUCUGUUGGGUUGUUUUGCUGGGUUAUUUUUUUACAUUUUAAACACUUUUUGGGUAGUUUCAGUUUUCUAGGUGUUGGGUUAAAACUGCUGGGUUAUUAUGUUGGGUUGUUUGAAGAGGCUCAUGUGCUUCGCGCCUUUGAUGUUUGAAUGUGUCGUCGUGAAAGGACAGAGUCACUGGAAGCGGUUGUUUCAAGGUAAGUUUAUAUGUUUUUGUGAACAUUUCAUGAAUAUAAACAAGAUUAUAACAUUUUGCGAGACAGCAACGUGUUAAUUUAUAGAGACUAAGACGACGGGUGUAAUUUGGAGGAAUGACGACUGUUACCUCAGAUCGCCAUUUACACAAAUUGACUCGAAUAAUCGUUCUAAGAUGUUUGAUAUGGCAAAUUAAUAAAAUAGAUGUUACAAAAUCCCCAUCACACGGUUGAUUACGUUAACUCAUGACAAUUUCUGUAAGCCUUUAACAAAGCGAGUCAAAACCGGUACCGAGUCGACCUCCGCAACCCCACUUCGGCUUCUUGUGUCACACACGCGCAGUUUUCCCUUUCCCAGCUUAACAAGCGAUAGCGACGCUGUUAAAUUAAAUUUAACGACAAACGAGUUGCUUUCUUGUCAUUCGAUAUGUAAAGACAGACCGCGAGGCGCGAGCACAUGUUAACCAGCGGCGGAGGAUCACGGAGCCGGCGUCUCUGUCACUGAGGCAGGGUCAGGGCAAGCAGCAAAUUUACUUCACCGUCGGUACGGCAGAGUGUGCAGAGUUUUAACGUCCAUCCAUUGAUGAGGCUAGCAAGACCUUCAUACAACUUCAGCCAAUUGCAACAAAUGUGGUGGAAUUUCUUCUCUGGACAGAAUCCUCGAAACCCUUUCCUUUCGUCCUGGCCAUGGGAAACAUGCAGCAGAUCUCUCAAUCUUUUUUCUCAAUCAGUCUCUCUGAAUACGGAAGUGACUUAAACUGCAAUUCGGCCAAGAUGGCGACGGCACGCACCGCCUACUUUAAGCUUCAAAAAUGCUCUUCAUAAACCAAUGGGUGAUGUCACGGACACUACUUGCACAUUUUUUACAGUCUCUGGUUUAAAGGCAUUUUAAGUGCUUGAAAAUAAAUACCCCAGGCAAUGUGCUUCUAUGGGAAUUCCUGUAGUCUGUCAUUUUUCAAAUGGAUAAAUCCUCUCCUGUUCGUUUCCUUUGUACAUCUUUGUUCGCGACGAGUAACUUUAAUAAAUGAAGUAUUUUUAGUCAAAUACAUUCCAUUCUGUAAACCU